UGUUUUCACGGAGGCCCAACACACAUAACUGUUUUAAAUUAUUUUUCAAAAUGCACAGAACAAUGCUUUGGGCCGGUAAAGGCACUUAUAAUACGUGUGUCGAAGCGGUCUCGUUUCUUUGCAUCGUUAUACUUGCGGGUCAUCGGUAAAGUAAAACAUGUCAUAAAAUUAUUAAUAUUUUAUUUUAAUAAACGUUCAAGUUUGUGUUCGGUAAGCUUAACUAAAAAUAUCGUCUUGUCUAAUUUAACAUCAACUCGUUCUCGAAAUUUCCGUUUGGUAUUAAUCCGUCACUAUUUUCACGAAAAACGAUUGUGAGCGGCUACGGUUUGUCAGCUCAGGAUAUUAUAUUUACGUUGUUAUUAUUAAUACGGUAGCCGUAAUACGGAGGUAGAGGCAUGAGCAGAUACGAUUCGCGGUCCACACAAAUCAAAAUGUUUACUGGCUCUGCAAUUUAUUACGCUGUGGUUCGUUUCAACGUCAGGAACGCGCUUUUUGGGCAAAAUCUCAAAUCCUCUGGUUGCACGUUUUUUUCCAAAUACAAACAGUGGAAAGAAACAGAUACACAAAAAGCCUUGCAUCGGAAACUGGUCGGGACAACUACGGAACGCGAAUAAUAUGGUCACACUAAAUAUUGUUGUAGAGAUACCUCAGAGUCUUGACAGUAUAAUAAUACCACUGAAACUACCACCACCAGCACCACCAGCAGCAGCGGUGGUAUACAUAGUUUCCGACGAAGUUGGAUCUUGCGGGGGGGGAGGGUCUGAGUUCCAGUCCAAGGGACGGAAAUCUACGGCACAGCUGCUGCUACCCCACACUCCUCACCUACUUAUAGUCACCGUCUUUAAGAUUAGAAUUCUGAUUGAGCCCGGCGGUGGUCUUAUCCAUCCACUAGCAGACGACGGCGUACAUUAUAAUAUUAAUAUAAUAUUAUUGUUAUAUGGAAUACAGUGUGUUCGAUAACCGUGCUCGCAUAUAUUAUGAUGACGAUUUGAAAAUUAUAAUAAUCAAUACUAUAAUAUAAUAUUGGAAAAAAAUCCCCUUUAGAGCCUAAAACAACGUGGUGACUUAAUCUUAUUAUAUACUACACUUAGAUCAUAUGCAAUACACGUUAGUAGCCACGUUAAUCAUUUACUAUGUCCAGAAUAACUCCCCGCUGAUUACCUACAUAAUUUCAGAAAACACACAACUAGGGCGCUUGCGCUUAGUCGUAUAGGAACAACCCAAUCACGGCAAUGGCGCUUAAUAGUAAUAAUUUAAAACAAAAGGUAUACAAUACUAUAUAUUAUUCAAUAGCUCAUGUAUAAUGUAAGUAUACACCAUGUCAUAUAACACUACAAUAUCUUAUUACCAUGUUGUACAUUUAUUUUCAAAAAGUACCUAUUUAAAUUUUUUUUUUUUAUAAAAACAAAAGUGAAAAGUAGGUAACCGUUCUGGUGUAGAGUAGAUUUUGAGUCGUUAUAAUUUGAUCUAUAAUCUAUAUCACAUUGUAUAAUGUCCUAAAGUACCGGCGUUGGCGUGACGAUCCUCAAUAACGCGUUGUUCCUUGAAACGAGAUGCGCGUGGUAUGAAUUAUAUUCACAACAGUUCAGUUUACGAUAAACACAUUUUAAUAACACACACAUCCAUUGAACAUGAUCUAAGCUUGUACAAAUAAAUAACACCAAGGCGACUGUAGUUAAUAGGUGAGUAAUUAAUCAUAUAACUUUAAAGCAGAUAUUUUGUUAUAUUACACAAUAUUUAUACGAAUAAACUGUAUAUUCUACUUAUCCUAGAUGAAAAUAAAAUUUACUCAUAUAAUAUCUUUUAAACCUGUUAGUAUGGAUUAUACAGAAACAAUUAGUAUCAAUUUGAAAUCAUAGGUACAUAAGCAUUUACAAUAAAGAUCAUCUGCUGAAAAUCAAGUUAACUCGCCCUCCGUUGACCAUUAUAAACAGUUAGGAGAAAUAGAAUUUCCGAUCGACUUCCAUAACCUUUGUAUCAUAAUAAUUAUAAAUUAUUAUUAUUAUAUUAGUAAUUUGACUGUUGCGUAUGGUAGAAAGGCGUGCCAAACAAAAGUGGUGUGAUAUAUCAAUACCAUAAUAUUGUAACAUAUAGCUGGUUUGGGGAAUAAAUAAUAUAUUGUUCUAGGAUAACGAUUAACGACGCCUUUAGAAUAUGUGAAAACGGCAACUGUAUCAAAAUAAAUCAAUUCAAUUUUCACUUACUCCAAGGUAAUCUACGGGCUGUACAUAUUAUAAUAUUAUGCGUUUACAUUAUUAUGAUUGAUCGGCUUCGGUGGGUUCUUUUGUGUUUUUGUCGAGAAAUUAUGUUGAUGAAAACAUGUCAAUCGUUCGUUCGAAUUAAAUUCUUAAAACUUAAAGUAAUAAAUGUUUAUACUUUUUCAUUAUUAUCGCUUAUACGAGUUAAUAUUAAUAUCAAUAUUCCAAUUGAAGAAAGUUAGUAGCAAACAUUAAUGUGGAAUGAAGACAUGUACUUACGCAUAGCUCCUAGAGAAAAUAAUGUUCCUGUCAGUUUAUUGUUUGAUGUACAUGCAAAAGAAGUGUCUUUUCCAUUAAUAUACCUCGGUAAAUUUCGUAAAUUUAAAGAAGGUAUCUCUGUUACGGCAUUUUUGAUGUCAACUAGUGAACUCAGACGAUCUGACAGAAGAGGAGUUAUCCUACAUCACUUUAAUAAUUAACAUCUGUUAGUUUAAACAUUUUAAUCUCACACAGUACAGUUGGUAUUACUGACACCGUAAUUUGGGUUGGCAAUAUGCAUAUGUGUGAAUAUAGAGUCACGUCGUCACUGGCCAGUUUUCGUUUUGCGGACUGCUAUAGCGUCUACUUCAAAAACACUACCCAACAAUCGUCGUACAACAAUUGCACUUCUUGUGAAUAAUUAUUUUACACAUCGUAUAGUAAAAAAAUAUGUAAAACGGUUUUGAGUGAAAGUUUCAAGAAAAAAGUCUUAAAAAAGCAGUCCAGGCAUAAUAAAUUAUUAAGAAUUCUGCAGAUCUAAAAAAAUAAAUAGGUACUUACUUUGAGUAUAAAGUUAAUGCAAGUAUUCUUGUUUGCAUAUUUCGAUUGUGUGUGGCAAUCGCAUUAUAUGAGUUUUUUACAGAUGCAUCGAUAGACAUGUAACAAACAUAUAGCAAAUCAUAAAUUCCAAUCAUAUUGAUUAUCUUAAUACUAUCUUAUUACCGGUCAGUCCCAGGUUCUGUUCAAUUCAAACGCCAUUCGAGGAAAACCCUGGGGAAACCUACAACUUCACAGGCAUUUUUUGCGACGACAACACAGUUACGACAGGCAAACUGCAAGGAUCGAAUAUAAUAUCAUCACUAGUCGAGGAGAUAUUUUCAAUUAUUAUUCUUAACUAGAUAUUAUAAUAUUACGAGAACACCCCCAAGUUUGUUAUCACUAAACGUGUCGAUAUCAGCUCACGACAAACACAAGUGGACAGACUACAGUAAGCUAUCGAAACGGCGAGUGGGUGAUAUACGCACCGCGAUUCCCCGGGCGCAAAGGGUAUAGACGAACGUGAUUUCAACACAAAGCCCCGCAAAAUGUAGUUCCACCUAUAACCGGUAUAGACACACAUUCCGGAUUGAUAUAGCGUUAUUGGUCAAUUUACGUAAAACGCUACGCCGCUCCUCAAAGUGGUUGACUCUCCUUAAGUGGGCCCGGUGGAGAUCGAACCAGAUGGAAUAAUUCAGUCGGUCGUAUAUUCGUAUUUGCAAAAAAAAAGUCGCAGUGAAUGAAAUUUGACUCUGACUUCAAAACGGCGUACACUGCAACGUAUAUUUCCCCAAAUUGUUCUGUUCGCCCAUACAUCGAAAACUGUACGAGCUCAAAUAAAUUAUUGAAAGCUUUUUUUUGAAAAUAAUCCUACAAAAAAGUCGCGCAGCAAAAAAAAAUGUUUUAUAUUUUACCAGCAUUGCGUUUUUUUCAUAAACGCCGUAUUAUAGCUAUAAUCUAUACAAUUAAUAAACAACAAAACAAAAUAAAGUUAAUUUUGAAUAGAUAUCGUGAAUUUGUUGUUUAGUAGGUUCAUAAUAAUACAACAGUCAUAAAUUUAACCAAAUUUUAACGAUAAUGAGAUUCAAAGUAAUAUGAUAAAUGUUGGUUUUAAGAGUGUAGGUAUUAUAAUAUUAUGAUUAAUUGAAUAACUUAGGCAUUAAAGUUUUGGCAUGGUGCGAGAAUACCAUCAAUUUGCUAACCUAUUAUUAUACACAAUUCAACACAAUAAGUGUUGUUUUGUACAUUUUUUUUCAUAUUACAGUAUAAGUUAAUUAUGAUUUUUGGAUAUUUCGUAUUUAGAUUUAAUAAUAUAACGCAUAUUUAACACGCUAUACCGUUUCGUGUCGGUUAACAAUUUGUCAUUCUAAUUCAUUUCAUUUAUGCGCGUACAUCCGAAAUACUGUAGGUAAUUAUUAUUAUUUAAGCCAAACAACUCGGGAUAUUCAAAAAUAAUAAGCCCUAUUGAAAUUUGUAACGAAUGAUAACUGCAGUGUAAAGUGAAUUCGAAUUAGCUCGAAGUGUUUUCGUCGCUGUUAUAAUAUACAAUAUAACGUGGCUCGGUCAAAAUAACAACAGCUACGCAGUGUGAGUGACGUUUUGGGUUGCCAAAAAUAGCGGAAUUACGUCCCCAAAAAUACCGACCAGAAAACGGUACCGUGAUAUUUUGAUAAUAAUGUUAAUAAUGUUGGAUGCCAAAGUUAAAUAUUAUUAAAAUAAAAUGUUUAAUACGGCCUCGGCGUAUGAAUUGCUGGCGGCACCCAAAUUCUUUUCUACAAAACGAUCUUAAUAAUCUCUGAUAUCUCACUUUGUGCUCAUAUUAUAUUACUAUACAAUAUUACACCCACGGUGUGUAUACAAUAUAGAGGGUAAUUUAUGCAUUCAAGAAACAAAGAUUAAAUACAGAUGAUUUUUGAAAUUCCACAUAAAAAUUAUAUUAUCAAUAAUAAUUGAAAAUACGUCGAGUCCAUAAUAAUAUUAUGUGUUGUACGCAUAUAAGAUUAGUUUUUGCGUUUUCGUUUAAGGCCGGUUAGGUUAGAAGCCGGUGUAGAACGUAUUACAAUUAUGUUAAGUUUUAAAUGUAAUUUUCAUAAAAUUGUAAUUAAUGGUUGUCAUGCGUUUUUAAAAUAUGCUUAUCGGCCGAAUCUAUUAGCGAUGUAAACUACUUUUUUAACUACGUUAUGUAAUAAGGUAAAAAAAAAAAUAAUAAUAAUAAACGAUAAGAACUGUUAGUAUAAUAUUGUAUUAAUAUGUAAAAAAAAAUAUACGCUUAGCAAACCGCCAUAUAAUAAAUCUGUAUGUAGUUAAAUACCUACAUAAAGUCGAUGUAACUUAAGUGAAAAUAAACGCUAUUUUCCCGUGUGUAUUACCAAUACUAUAUAAUUUAAUGGCACGACACUGUAUAAAUUUUAGAAUGCAAAACGAGCUUUGUGCAUUGUGCUUUAAUCAAAAGUUACGUGUUAUGAUAUUUAUAGAAAUAUAAUAAGUACCUACAUAAUUAGUCGUAUUGUAAUGACAUUAUAUUUAAACUAUAUUCUAUUCUUUUCUUAGUCAUAUUAUAUUAUUUACCUAUGUGUAGGUGCUUGUAUUUUUGUAUGUAAAACUAAACUGUGAUAUUAUUUUUAAAAAGUUAUUGGUAAAGCAUUUAAAACAGUUUUUUUUUAGACAGAAACAGAUUUUAAAAACAUAAUAUUAUAUUAUGUAUUAUUGUACUAAUUCAAUACGUUGUAUAGAGUUGUGCAUAUAUUAUGCAAUAUUGUUUGUAAAUAGUCUUAUAUACAUUUACUUACACGUUCGUUUUGUUCUAAAAUAUUUAAAUUUAAAGGUCAUUUACGUCUUUGUAGUUUAAAACAUCAAAAUCUAUACAUUAUUAUCAAUAAAUGUUAUUACAUAUUACGUGCAUAUAAUGUACCUAUUACACUACCUACCCAUAACUAUUAAACUAUAAUAGUAGUACGAAAAUAUAAUAAUAUAUCGAUUUCAUUUGAAUUAUUAAUUUAAAUAAAAAACAAAUAUUCUGUUUCGAUUACGUAUUGAUUACUGUAAUAAGAAUCACAAAAACAUUUUGUAUGUAUAAUAUAGUGUACCUAUAUAUUAAUGUAUAGAAAAAAAUAAACUGUAAAUCAAGAAAUUGUAGAGACUGCAUAUUUAUUAUUAUUGUUAUUAAUUGCAACGAUAUAUGAAAGGCAACUAUUAAGUAUUAACUAAUACGAACGCCUCUUUUUACACUAUUUCAUAAUGUCGUAUUAGAGUAUUCUAUUAGUUCACUCACUCUCUCUUAUAUUAUUCAUCUUUCAGUUUUAAUGUUUAAACUUUAAAUUCUUUAUUUUGAUGAUAUAUUUUUUAUUGAAGUCUUUCGACGCUGGUUGAAUCGUUUAAGUUAAGAACUCGUCAACUGUUUGUGAAAAUUUUAAGUCCUUAGACUACACAAUACGGUCGUGGAAUUUGAAAACUUGGUACGGCGGUGAGUGACAAAUUAAGAACUUUUAUAAUUUUAUCAAGGAAAAAUAUAUUAAGGGCUCGGAGCAUUUUUUUAAAUGCCGCGUCUUUUGAUUAUCUCUCUGGUAGCAUUUGCAUAAUAAUUGCUUCACUCGUUUAAGCAAAUAUAUAAUAUAAAUACAAUUCGUUAAGUACUGCUAUUUCACGUUAUUUUAGGGUUUCCGCUAAUUCGUAUGUUAAGUACCUAUGGUUGGAUUAAAAUUAUUAGACUGCCGAAAUUUUAAUUUUGUUUAAUGCUGAAUGAAAAAAGAACUUACUGAUAUACAGCCGAUAGCAGGGUCUUGGCGUUCAUCGCUGCACUAGGCCACAGGAUUAGUGAUAUACAUUUUAAAGCAACGAUAAAUAAUUGUAUAAAAAAACGAUUUUACAAAUUGUUCUGUUAUUUACUAUUUAUAUAAUACAUUAUGCAGGAACAAAAUUAUUUAUAAGUGUACAUUUUUACUUUUGUUUAGUUUUAAUAUACAUAAUAUAUUUUGUAUGUGUAUUAUUACGUAGUAUAUACAUUAUACAUUUAUACAUUAUACCGUUUUGUGAACAAUAUUUAUGUGACCAUAAAAAUGGACUUAUUAGCAUUACAGUUUGUAUGUAUUGAUUUAUUAUUUAUAAAAUUACGAUAUAAAAUGCAUUAUUGAUAAUAAAAGGUUCGUGGUAUUGACAUUUUUAUUACAAAUAAAAUAUGAAAUGAUAUGUAUGGUAUUUCGAAUAGGAAUUCUCUUAAAAUAUAAAACAGAAACGAUUACAGUCAAAUUGAAUGGCUAAGAAUUUUGACCUGUUAUCGUGAAAUUGUGAAAACCUACGGAAACCUUGUCGAACUCGUAACUCAAUAGUUCUUACUUCUUACACGUGUAUACUCUAAAAAAAAUUUAAACAAGUUUCGAUUACGUUUUCGUCGAGAUUUUACAACGUUUGUAAGUAUUUUCGUGGUAAAAGAUAAAAAAGAAAAAUAAUAUGAACAUCGUUCACUCAUUCUGGUGUUCGGGAAAUGCCACUUUGAAAAAUCGACAUAAAUUUAUAGUAAAUGUUUACUCGAUAUUAAAAAAAAAAAAGAGUAUGAUGUAUACUUUCCCCCGUAUCAGCCAAAAAUAUUAUAUUAUGUACGAUAUUGUUUAGUCGACAAUGGUCGGAAGCUAUCGCACUGCGAUAGGAGGUCGUGGCUAUAUAAUUCUCGCGUGCAGCUUGAUUGGCAUACACAAACACACACACACACGUAAGUUACACAUUUCAUGUAAUACGUCAUGUCCUCAUGUAAAACAGUACACUUUUAAAAGAAGCGCAGAUGCGUUAAUACGGUAGCUGAAAAUACUGAUUUGUACAUCGAAAAACGUGUUAUCGGCUGCAUACAAGGAAAUCAGGGGGAGGCUCCUUUGGAAGGGCUUAUUCCCCUUCAAAUAUAUCCCAAGUAUAUCCAAAACAUUUGCACUUUUGAAGAGUUUUAUUUUUUUUUUUAGUAUUAAAGCAAUUUAAGAAAUUCUAUUUUGUUUUAUUUAUUUUUUUUUGGCUGACCCUCUCCAUAGCUGACCGAUAAGAAUAAAAAAGAUAGGUUAGUACAUUUUCAAUGUUUGCUGUAGUUGAAAUAAUUUUAUAAUACAAUUGUAAUUAAAUGUAAUUUAUUGUUAAAUAAAUGUAUUAUGUAAUAUCACAUAAUUAUAUUUAUGAUAAAUGGUAAAAAAAUAUUCGAAACAUUUUUACAGUGUGUGUGGGACGGUG